CACGUAGGGUGCGAGCGUUGUCCGGAAUUAUUGGGCGUAAAGAGCUCGUAGGCGGUGUGUCGCGUCGGCCGUGAAAACCUGCAGCUUAACUGUGGGCUUGCGGUCGAUACGGGCAUCACUGGAGUUCGGCAGGGGAGUCUGGAAUUCCUGGUGUAGCGGUGAAAUGCGCAGAUAUCAGGAGGAACACCGAUGGCGAAGGCAGGUCUCUGGGCCGAGACUGACGCUGAGGAGCGAAAGCGUGGGGAGCGAACAGG
rnacentral:rRNA from 1 species